AUUGAACGCUGGCGGCAGGCUUACCACAUGCAAGUCCAGCGAGUGGCGGACGGGUGAGUAAGGUCUGGGAAACUGCCUGAUGGAGGGGGAUAACUACUGGAAACGGUAGCUAAUACCGCAUACCAUAAGAUGUGCCCAGAUGGGAUGAGCUAGUAGGGGGGGUAAUGGCGCACCUAGGCCACGAUCCCUAGCUGGUCUGAGAGGAUGAACAGCCACACGGGAACGGAGACACAGUACAGACUCGUAAGGGAGGCAGCAGGGGGGAAUAGUGCACAAUGGGCGCAAGCCUUGUGCAGCCAUGCUGCGGGUGUGAAGAAGGCCUUCGGGUUGUAAAGCACUUGCAGCGGGGAGGCGUUACGCGCAGAAGAAGCACCGGCUAACUCCGUGCCAGCAGCCGCGGUAAUUC
rnacentral:rRNA from 1 species